GCUCAUGUUAUCGUGGUUCUUUCACUGUUGUCGUGCAGUCCGUUGAGGUCAGUCUUUGUUCGUCGAGGUCCGGCGCGUCGAGUUUGUUCGUGGAAGUCGAUGUUGAGGUUCGGUCCAUGGCUCUAUGCGUUUCUGUUUAUUCAGAGUCAAAAUGGAGAACCCAGAAAACAAGGCGAAAUCUGAAAACAAGGGGAAGUCUGAAGAGAAGUGGAAAUCUGAAAACAAGCCAAGCACUCAGUCUCAAAAGCAUGUUGCAGCCGGUGAUAAGGACACAGAUCCAACGCAAUAUUUGAAAAUAGGCAGAAACCAAUUGAGGUUGAGAAGGCAACCGGGAAGAAUCCUUACCCACACAAAUUCGAACACAAAGUUGAAUUGUUGUAUAUCCCUAAUUAUGUGAAGUUGAAUGGGGCUCUAUUGAAUUAUUCUAGUGAGAAGUUGAAUGGGGCUGCAUUGAAUUAUUCUACUUAUGAUAAAGAAUUAUAUUCAUUUGGUAAGGGCUUUUGCUACAUGGCAGCAUUAUUUGUGGCCAAAGGAAUUUGUGAUAAAAACUGACCAUGAGUCUUUAAGAUACUUGAAAAGCCAAGGUAAAUUGAGUAGAAGACAUGCCAAAUGAGUUGAAUUUCAUUGAGACAUUCCCUUAUGUGAUUAGCUACAAGCAAGGUAAAGACAAUAUAGUUGAUGAUGCGCUUUCAAGAAGCAAUACUUUGAAAAUAGGCAGAAACCACUUGAGGUUGAGAAGGCAACCGGGAAGAAUCCUUACCCACACAAAUUCGAGCACAAAGUUGAAUUGUUGUCUAUCCCUGAUUAUGUGAAGUUGAAUGGGGCUGCAUUGAAUUAUUCUAGUGAGAAGUUGAAUGGGUCUGCAUUGAAUUAUUCUACUUAUGAUAAAGAAUUAUAUUCAUUUGGUAAGGGCUCUUGCUACAUGGCAGCAUUAUUUGUGGCCAAAGAAAUUUGUGAUAAAAACUGACCAUGAGUCUUUAAGAUACUUGAAAAGCCAAGGUAAAUUGAGUAGAAGACAUGCCAAAAGAGAUGAAUUCAUUGAGACAUUCCCUUAUGUGAUUAGCUACAAGCAAGGUAAAGACAAUAUAGUUGCUGAUGCGCUUUCAAGAAGUUACCUCCGGCGCUGUCAACUAGGGUUUAAUUCUUCUCGUCGGAGUCAAAAUGGAGAACCCAGAAAACAAGGCAAAAUCUUAAAACAAGGAGAAGUCUGAAAAGAAGGGGAAAUCUGAAAACAAGUCAAGCACUCAGUCUCAAAAGCAUGCUGCAGCCGGUGAUGAGGACACAGAUCCAACGCAAUACUUUGAAAAUAGGCAGAAACCACUUGUGGCUGAGAAGGCAACAGGGAAGAAUCCUUACCCACACAAAUUCGAACACAAAGUUGAAUUGUUGUAUAUCCCUAAUUAUGUGAAGUUGAAUGGGGCUCUAUUGAAUUAUUCUAGUGAGAAGUUGAAUGGGGCUGCAUUGAAUUAUUCUACUUAUGAUAAAGAAUUAUAUUCAUUUGGUAAGGGCUCUUGCUACAUGGCAGCAUUAUUUUUGGCCAAAGGAAUUUGUGAUAAAAACUGACCAUGAGUCUUUAAGAUACUUGAAAAGCCAAGGUAAAUUGAGUUGAAGACAUGCCAAAUGAGUUGAAUUUUAUUGAGACAUUCCCUUAUGUGAUUAGCUACAAGCAAGGUAAAGACAAUAUAGUUGAUGAUGCGCUUUCAAGAAGUUACCUCUGGCGCUGUCAACUCGGGUUUAAUUCUUCUCGUCGGAGUCAAAAUGGAGAACCAAGAAAACAAGGCGAAAUCUAAAAACAAGGGGAAGUCCGAAAAGAAGGGAAAUCUGAAAACAAGCCAAGCACUCAGUCUCAAAAGCAUGCUGCAGCCGGUGAUGAGGACACGGAUCUAACGUUACCUCCGGCGCUGUCAACUCGGGUUUAAUUCUUCUCGUCGGAGUCAAAAUGGAGAACCAAGAAAACAAGGCGAAAUCUAAAAACAAGGGGAAGUCUGAAAAGAAGGGGAAAUCUGAAAACAAGCCAAGCACUCAGUCUCAAAAGCAUGUUGCAGCCGGUGAUAAGGACACGGAUCCAACGCAAUACUUUGAAAAUAGGCAGAAACCACUUGAGGCUAAGAAGGCAACCGAGAAGAAUCCUUACCCACACAAAUUCGAACACAAAGUUGAAUUGUUGUCUAUCCCUGAUUAUGUGAAGUUGAAUGGGGCUGCAUUGAAUUAUUCUAGUGAGAAGUUGAAUAGGGUUGCAUUGAAUUAUUCUACUAAUGAUAAGGAAUUAUAUUUAUUUGGUAAUGGCUCUUGCUACAUGGCAGCAUUAUUUGUGGCCAAAGGAAUUUGUGAUAAAAACUGACCAUGAGUCUUUAAGAUACUUGAAAAGCCAAUGUAAAUUGAGUAGAAGACAUGCUAAAUGAGUUGAAUUCAUUGAGACAUUCCCUUAUAUGAUUAGCUACAAGCAAGGUAAAGACAAUAUAGUUGAUGAUGCGCUUUCAAGAAGGUACGCUCUUAUUUCUACCCUUACUUCUAAAUUGAAGGGAUUUGAUCAUAUUAAGGAUUUAUAUGUUGAUGAUUCUGAUUUUGAUGUAGCAUUUUCAGCAUGUUUAAAUGGGCCUUUUGAGAAGUAUAAUCUGAAAGAUGGGUUUUUUUAAAGAGAAUAAAUUUUGUGUCCCUAAUUGUUCUUUCCGAGAAGUUUUUGUGAGGGAAGAACAUUGUGGGGGGCUUAUGGAACACUUUGGUGUGCCUAAAACACUUGACAUCUUUGCUGAAAAUUUAUUUUGGCUUAAUUUGAGAAAAGAUAUAGAAAGAUUUUGUGCUCAAUGACUUUAAUGCAAACAAGCUAAAUCUAAAGUGUUGCCACAUGGUUUAUACACGCCAUUAUCUGUGCCUAUUUCACCUUGUAUUGAUAUUUUUAUGGACUUUUUGAUAGGACUACCUAGAACAAGGUAUGGUAAGGAUAACAUCUUUGUUGUGGUAGAUAGGUUCUCAAAAAUGGCUCGUUAUAUUCCUAGUUUAAAGACUAAUGAUGCUUCUUAUGUUGCUAAUUUAUUUGUUAGAGAAGUUGUUAAAUUGCAUGGUAUACUCGAACUAUUGUUAAUGAUAGGGAUGCUAAGUUUCUAAGCCACUUUUGGCGUGUGCUUAGGAGAAAAUUGGGAACAAAAUUGGUGUUUUCUACUUCAUGUCAUCUGCAACCUGAUGGGCAACCUGAGGUAGUAAAUAGAACCUUAGGAAAUAUGGUAAGAGUUUUUUUAAAAGGAAAAUUAACUUCUUGGGAGGAUCACUUGCCUAUGAUAGAAUUUGCUUACAAUCGAACUGUUCAUUCGUCCAUUGGUUAUUCUCCUUUUGAAGUUGUUUAUGGCUUUAACUUCUUCAAACCCCUUUUCUUAUUGCCUUUUCCUACUAAUGAGAUGGUUAAUCUUAAUGAAAAAUAGAUAGCUGAUUUGAUGAAGGAUAUUCAUGAGCAUACGAGACUUGCCAUUGAAAUAAGGAAUAAGCAAAUAGCUUUAUGAAGAAAUAAAGGUCAAAAACCAGUUAUCUUCGAGCCCGGUGAUUUGGUUUGGGUUCAUAUGAGGAAGGAGAGAUUUUAUUCAAAAAGAAAGACAAAAUUAUAGCCUAGAGGAGAUGUGCCAUUUAAAGUACUUGAAUGGAUUGGAGAUAAUGCUUACAAAUUGGACCUUCCAGGUGAGUUUCAAGUAAGUGCUACUUUCAAUGUUGCUGACUUAUCCUUGUUUGAUGUAGGUUCAAAUUCGAGGACAAAUUCUUUUUAAGAGGAAGGGAAUGAUAGCUCCACGGACAAGGAUAAAGCUUUAGAAGCACCAAGAAAGCCAUUCACAAGGUCUCAAGCUAAGGAGAAGCAAGACAAGAUUGUUGGGCUUUAAUGGGAGAUCAAGAAGGCGCUAAUGCACUACAACAAAAAGAACUUUUAGUGAUAAUUAAUUAGCGGCAAUAAGCUAAUGGCCAGUAAAUAAUUUCAAAAACCCGAAUACUAGUGGCAAUUGCGAAUUAGCCGCUAUUGGUUACCUUUUUACUGGCGAUAAAUAUGAAUAA